rnacentral:rRNA from 1 species
GAAUUGGAUUAGGCGUAACACAUGCAAGUCGAACGGCAGCACGGACUUCGGUUUGGUGGCGAGAAACGAACGGGUGAGUAAUGCAUCGGAACGUGGGACAUCGUGGGGGAUAACGUAGCGAAAGUUACGGUAAUACCGCAUACGAUCUAAGGAUGAAAGCGGGGGAUCGUAAGACCUCGCGCGAAUGGAGCGGCCGAUGUUAGAUUAGGUAGUUGGUGGGGUAAAGGCUCACCAAGCCGACGAUCUAUAGCUGGUGUGAGAGGAUGAUCAGCCACACUGGGUUUGAGGCACGCCCCAGACUCCUACGGGAGGCAGCAG